rnacentral:rRNA from 1 species
AAAAGUCGUAACAAGGUCUCCGUUGGUGAACCAGCGGAGGGAUCAUUGCUGGAACGCGCUUCGGCGCACCCAGAAACCCUUUGUGAACUUAUACCUAUUGUUGCCUCGGCGCAGGCCGGCCUCUUCACUGAGGCCCCCUGGAAACAGGGAGCAGCCCGCCGGCGGCCAACCAAACUCUUGUUUCUAUAGUGAAUCUCUGAGUAAAAAACAUAAAUGAAUCAAAACUUUCAACAACGGAUCUCUUGGUUCUGGCAUCGAUGAAGAACGCAGCGAAAUGCGAUAAGUAAUGUGAAUUGCAGAAUUCAGUGAAUCAUCGAAUCUUUGAACGCACAUUGCGCCCUCUGGUAUUCCGGAGGGCAUGCCUGUUCGAGCGUCAUUUCAACCCUCAAGCCUGGCUUGGUGAUGGGGCACUGCCUGUAAAAGGGCAGGCCCUGAAAUCUAGUGGCGAGCUCGCCAGGACCCCGAGCGUAGUAGUUAUAUCUCGCUCUGGAAGGCCCUGGCGGUGCCCUGCCGUUAAACCCCCAACUUCUGAAAAUUUGACCUCGGAUCAGGUAGGAAUACCCGCUGAACUUAAGCA